ensembl:lncRNA
CUUUGCUGAAAAAACUAAAGAUUGUGUCUCAAUGAAAGGGGGUUGGAAUAUGUUCAGGACACUCCAAACAUUAAAUAAAAUGUGUGAAGUAGUUGAGAUUUACGUCCCUGAAUGCUCCACAAUACUUUAAACAUAGGCCUAAACACAGGCGAAAAUGCAUUGUCUUCAAUGGUAGGGCCAUGUGACACCUAUGACAGUUUGCUGAUGAAACUAAAGAAUGUGUCUCAAUGAAAGGGGGGUGGAAUAUGUUCAGGACAUUCCAAACAUUAAAUAAAAUGUGUGAAGUAGUGGAGAAUUACGUCCCUGAAUGCUCCACAAUACUUUAAACAUAGGUGACAAGAAGACACCCUUAUCAACUCAAUUACUAUUGAUCAAAACAGAACGAGGUUUCGGCUGUAGCCUAUACUUGAAACAAACUAUUGAGACCAUAUUCGCUUACAUGCAUUGCACGCGUGAUGAAUUGCGGCUUAAUGGUGUUUUGAGCCCUCACCGUCGACUUCAAGGCAGCAGCUCACCCACCCCCUGAGCGAAAUAAUUCAUAUCUAUAAAUAACAGCUCACCUUUAUCUUUUUAACCAGAUUUGUAAACAGGUCGCGAUCAAUAUUUUGCAGUACAAUAGGCUACCUUGGUUAAAAAUCGAAUUACGAUAGAUGCAUGCUAGCAUUGCGCUAAAUAAUUAGACAGCUAACAUUAAUUAGUGGUGUUAACAUAAAGUCAGUUAUUGUAUAUGGCAUUAAUAUUAUUCUAAAACACCUUCACUAGUUGUUUUAACCAGAUUUGUAAGCAGGUUGUAUACAACAUUUUGGAAGUGCCUUGGUUUAUAACAGCUAAAAGCUAGCUACAUUAAGUUGCUUGCUCAAAUCUCAAAUUCAAACCAACGUAUUUUCUAAACUGGCAAGCUUGGAGCUGCCUCUGUUCAAUGAUUGGCUCAGGGGGUGGGAGGUGGGAUGCGCCUUCCAGGCAGCUGCUGCCUUGAAGUCGACGGUGAGGGCUCAAAACACCGUUAAGCAGCUUUUUUUUAAUUUAUUUUUUAUCGCGGACUUUUUAUUUUUUUUUGCCUUAGGCGCUCGGGAUUUGUUGUAGGCGCUCGGGAAAACGGCUUAGGCGCGCGCCCAAAUUUUCUCUAUGCAGGAAAAACCUGUAUACUCAUUAAAAAAAUAAAAGAUUGGCAAAGUCAACUCCUCUAGGCCUCUUUUUCUUUUAACCCUGGCAGCUCAUACUGCUCUCAACCUCCUCGACGAGCCACCCCGCUUAGCAACGGGGGUUUUCUUCCCACUGGAGCUGCCUUUGCCGACUGCCUUCUCCUCAACAGCUGCGGCAUCACCCUCAUCUCCACCCUGAAGUUCAUCCUCAUCCUCCACAGGAGCCAGGAUGCGGUCAUGCCCCUCCUCCAGAGAGGCUGGUUGUGUGUUCCCAUUGGCUGCUGAUGCUGCCUGUAUGAUCUCCUCGUGUGGCUGCUCCUGCGGUUGCUGCUCCUCCUGCGGCUGCUCCUCCUGCGGCUGCUCCUCCUGCGGCUGCUUCUCCUGCGGCUGCUCCUCUUGCGGCUGCUUCUCCUGCGGCUGCUCCUCCAGCGGCUGCUCCUCCAGCGGCUGCUCCUCCUGCGGCUGCUCUGCUUUUUCACUACUGGAGGGGAGGUCAGUUGGUUUGACUUUUGAGGGUCGACCCCUCUUGCGUGGUGGGCCGUCGUAGAGCAGUUUAGGCUGCUCCUCCUGCGGCUGCUCCUCUUGCGGCUGCUUCUCCUGCGGCUGCUCCUCCAGCGGCUGCUCCUCCUGCGGCUGCUCUGCUUUUUCACUACUGGAGGGGAGGUCAGUUGGUUUGACUUUUGAGGGUCGACCCCUCUUGCGUGGUGGGCCGUCGUAGAGCGGUUUAGGUUCUGGAAUCGUUGCCUUCCAAUGCCUUUUCUUCUUGCCUAGAGAGCCCCUCGGCCGGCCCCUUUUCUUCGGCGUAGCGCCAUUCUCCAUUUCCAGCUUCUUCUUGGCGACAGCAGAGCCAGAGCUCCGGGGUCGGCCUCUCUUUCUCGGGGGGCUGUCUGCUUCUUCCUCCAGGGACCUUUUCCGGGGCCUGCCCCUCUUUCGCGGGGGUCCGUCAACAGCUGCGGCCUGGACCUUCCCUGAACCCGGUUGUCUCCCCCUCUUUCGGACCGGGCUAAAUGUGAGGCGCCUGGUUUUGUUUGUUGAACCGGGAGGUCGCCCUCUACCUCUUUUGACGGGAGGCCUGUUAGCUGGGGGAUUACCCAGCUUGGAGGUGCUACGACUGGAGACAGAGUCAUACUUGGGAGGGCUGCCCCUUUUCCUCUGAAACAUAUUUAACUUAUUUUUGACAGAGCCCUUAGGUCGACCCCUGCCACGUUUGACUGGCGGGGGGAUGCCAUUAGGAAUACCCUCCUCAGAGUCACUGGGCUCUGCCGUCAUCUCCUUUUGGAAUAGUCAGAUGACAAGUUGAGACAAUGUGGCUCUCUGCAGAAGAAAAUGGAUAAGGUUACACUCAUCCUCUUACAUGUCAUAGCAUACUAAAAGAAAAUGUCGGUCUUAGUGCCUGGUUAUUGCAACUAAAUGUAUCUUGCCAAUCGGAAGUCGUAACAAUCUUACUCAAACAAGUAAGGUAAAUGUAAGGUACAUUGAAGGUAAAAUUAUCUACAGCAAGUAGAUAAUAAGUAAGUAAUAAGGUUAUAAGAACUGCAAUCUUGCAAGUGUUUUCAUAUGUACCCAUCAGCGAGGUUAUGACUCUGAAGUUAUCCACGCCCCCCUUUCUAACCUUUGCAACCCAGCAACACGACGGUUCCUAGCUGGCUAAGCUAACAAAAAUAAUGCUGUUCAUGAUGGACAGCUAAGACAGUAA